GCUUCGACCAUCUGCAACCCUGAACUGGAAUAAGCAGCUCCCUCUCAAAUGAUCCAGAUGGGGAAGCAGGAAGAAACAGAACUCAAAUGUGGCAAAAUGCUAACAACUGGUGAAUCUGGGUGAAGGUAUAUGGAGGCUCAUUAUUCUAUUCUUGCAACUUUUCUGAGAACUUGACGUUUUUCUAAGAAAUGAUUUUAAACAUUUUUAAAU